rnacentral:rRNA from 1 species
CAGCCGCCGCGGUAAUACGUAGGUGGCAAGCGUUGUCCGGAAUUAUUGGGCGUAAAGCGCGCGCAGGUGGUUUAAUAAGUCUGAUGUGAAAGCCCACGGCUCAACCGUGGAGGGUCAUUGGAAACUGUUAAACUUGAGUGCAGAAGAGGAGAGUGGAAUUCCACGUGUAGCGGUGAAAUGCGUAGAGAUGUGGAGGAACACCAGUGGCGAAGGCGACUCUCUGGUCUGUAACUGACGCUGAGGAGCGAAAGCGUGGGGAGCGAACAGGAUUAGAUACCCCCGUAGUCCCUGUCUCUUAUAC